CCAGACUCCUACGGGAGGCAGCAGUGGGGAAUAUUGGGCAAUGGGCGCAAGCCUGACCCAGCAACGCCGCGUGAAGGAAGAAGGCUUUCGGGUUGUAAACUUCUUUUAUUCGGGACGAAGAAAGUGACGGUACCGAAUGAAUAAGCCACGACUAACUACGUGCCAGCAGCCGCGGUAAUACGUAGGUGGCAAGCGUUAUCCGGAUUUAUUGGGUGUAAAGGGCGUGUAGGCGGGAAUGCAAGUCAGAUGUGAAAACUCAGGGCUCAACCCUGAGCCUGCAUUUGAAACUGUAUUUCUUGAGUGCUGGAGAGGCAAUCGGAAUUCCGUGUGUAGCGGUGAAAUGCGUAGAUAUACGGAGGAACACCAGUGGCGAGGGCGGCCUGCUGGACGACAACUGACGGUGAGGCGCGAAAGCGUGGGGAGCAAACAGGAUUAGAUACCCCCGUAAC
rnacentral:rRNA from 1 species